rnacentral:rRNA from 1 species
CACGUAGGGUGCGAGCGUUGUCCGGAAUUAUUGGGCGUAAAGAGCUCGUAGGCGGUGUAUCGCGUCGGCCGUGAAAACCUGCAGCUUAACUGUGGGCUUGCGGUCGAUACGGGCAUCACUGGAGUUCGGCAGGGGAGACUGGAAUUCCUGGUGUAGUGGUGAAAUGCGCAGAUAUCAGGAGGAACACCGGUGGCGAAGGCGGGUCUCUGGGCCGAUACUGACGCUGAGGAGCGAAAGCGUAGGGAGCGAACAGG